CAAAAAUAUCUGUUUAUACAGACACAGUGCCACAUGAAACAUUGUGUUUUAACAGAUUAUUCAUUUAAAAAUAUAAGAUUUAUUUAAAAAUGGUAAACCUUCACUAAAGUGUUAGUAUAAUUUUAAAGAGAGAUAGAAACACGAUGUAACAUUACGCACAGCAGAUAACAUUGCAUCAAACAGAGCGUCAUCUUGCACUUCCAAUUUAAUUGAAAAAUUGUUUAACAAUUACUAGAAAUAAUACGAUAAAGCCAACAUUAAAAACUUCACAUAUUUAAAACUCCGAUGAUUGCGAUUUUAGUGGUGACCAAAUAAAAAAUUCGUUUUUAUUUAAGAUUAGAUUCAGGAUUGAUGGAGAAAUCGCAAUUGAUUGAGUGGUUGGAACGGCUAUUCAUACCAGCAAUUAAAUCGAUUGGAGAGAAUGCAUUCUUGUCUUAGAUGAUCACGGCACUCAUGUGUCAUUAAAAGUUAUUGAAAUAUUUAAAAAAGAAAACAGUGUUUGAUUGGCCUCCCUACACGCUUAAAAAUAGUGUGGACAAAAAACACGACACUUAGUGUAGUGUCUUUUUGGCUACACAAUUUGUGUACUUCAAGGCUACACUUGUCCGCUUUAAAGCCACACUUGUAAUUAUGAAAUUAAACUUCAUUAUAUGCGUAAAAAAAGCCACACUUCUUUGUUGGAUUCUCGUAUCGAAUUAUUCGGAAAGGAGGCUAGAAUCAUGUUUUUAGCGACAUGUUUUUUUUUAUGAACCAUUUUCAGUUUUACUGAAAAUUUUAGUGUAACUUUUAUUGCUGCAUGGUAAUUUUAAACACAUACAUAGUUAACUUUUUCAUAAAAAAAUUUUGGUUUGUAAUAUUUUAGUAAUAUCGUAUUAAAUAUGUUAAGCGGGGAAAAUAUCGAUUUUCAGUUGUUAAAAAUUAGAAGAUGCAACUUUGCUUGCAUUUAAGGCGCUCCCUUUUCUUAUGAUAGCACCUCCACAGAAGGGCAAGAAGAGUCCAAGAAUUUGGCUUUAUUUUAUAGAGAAAUGGAUGUACACCUCAGUCUUGAAAGCUCCCUUGAGUUAUUGAAGAAGGAGAAAGUUUUUCUACUGAUUUUAUUCAAGUGUUUCAGCACUCUAUUUAUAAUUUAAAUUAUAACUAUAAUUAUAAGUCGAUAAUACAGCUAUACGGUUGGAAGCCAUACCGUGGAUUUAUGGGAAAUUUGCUUGGAAUAAACAACAAAAGAAUUAUCGUCAAUUCCUUUUAAAUAAAGUAUUGUCAAAAGUUUAAGAUUAAAUUAAGCAAUAUGUUUGUGAAACGAAAAAGUAUUUUUAUCACUUUCUUGUUUAUUUUUGUUAUAUCGUCAGCCGAGAACCAAGAGACCGUAUGUCUUUUUUUUGUGUUUCCAAGAAAAUCAAGUUUCAAAUUUUAAUUUGCAAAGUCUUUCUUCCAGAAAAUUCGACUGAUUAUUUAAAUAUUUCCUAAAAUUUUAUUGUUGUGGUAUAUUUAUGAAACACACACUCCUGAAUAUUUAUUGAUAAUGGACAAAAAAAAAACACAAAAUGUUGAUAUACGGUUCUUCUCUGACGGCGGUAUCUAUUUUUCAAAGUUUUAACUCGCUUUUGCAUAUAAAUGUUUUAAGACUUGUUUUUAAUUUAAUAUUCACUGAAUUGAGUUUGAGUUUAAACUGAGUUUAUAUACUUAAAAGAAAUACUAUAACAAUGCAUUGACUCGGAAUUAAAAUAAAAUUUAUAUUUCAGUUUUUAUUAUUUUAUUGUGAUAUCGUUCCGUUAUUUCUUGUAAGCCAAUAUAAUAUACAUGUGUAAUUUAGUAUAUGACUCUAAAUGACAAUGUGUAAUUUAUUAUAUGAUAUAAAUAGCAUUCUUUA
rnacentral:lncRNA from 1 species